UUGGCAGGGUCAGAGGUGAGUACACCCAUCAUCUUUAUGUGCUUAUUCACUCAUUUAAAUAUGAAUGUACUCUGUGCAUAGGCCAGAGUCUAUGGAUUGUGGGAGCCACACAAAGAGGCUCACGGCUUUGCUAGGAACUGAUUAACAAGGAGUCUAACAGGAAAUAGAAAGGCAGCAGAAUUCAGGCUUUGGCCUAAGAACCACCAUGGGCAAAUCCUUCCUCUGCCGGGCACCUUCUAUGACCUUGGCAGCUCCAAAUGACCCUGGGUGAUGUUUGACGAGCUCCUGUGAACUUCGACAAAUGGGGUCCUGACCACAGCUCUGUGAGAAAACAGUGGGUGAUCUGAGAGAGAGAGCUGAACCUGGCUGAGAAAAACAAGCACCCAAUGUGACUCGCCCCUGGUUUAGAAUGGCAGGCCUACAGGCACACAGCGCAUCGAGGUGAGGCUGUUUUGACUCUGACUUCAGGGCCCUUGAGAGAGCCGCUUGACUUCCCUGGGAGGAGUGUCUCGUUCGGAAUCAUUUUUUCCAGGAGUGAACUCAGAAAUAGAGACCGCCUGUUUGCAGCAACAGAGAAGAGAGAACCAAACAUGCGAAGAGACCCAAAGGUUUUUUGGCAGGGGUAAAAGAUCUCUCCGUUCUCAUUUAUUUUAUGAAGAAUGGCACAUUGGUGGGCAUGAGGGCUGCAUAAAGGGUGCUUCAUAAAGAACAGCGAGAGGAAGAAACUGACAAGAAAGGACCUCCAUUCAAUUCAGUCAAGAGAACUGUGGGUUCGCACAGAAUAAGCUGUCCUUGGAGAAUGGAUUUGCCCUGUUUAAUUGUUACACCAGUUCUACCUUUUGUGAGCAGGGUGCCCUUGGACAAAUUAACCCCUCUGAGAGUUAGUUUCUUCGUCAGUAAAAUAAAGAUAAUUUUUAAG